AAAUUCUUUAAAUUUAAAGAAUUUGGCGGUAAUUUAGUCUUUUCAGAGGAACCUGUUCUUUAAUCGAUAAACCACGUAUAAUUUUACUUGUUUAAAGAAGUUUGUAUACCAUCAUUAGCAGAUAAUUUUAUAAAGAUAUUAAUUAUUAGGAUUAAUUUAAUUAAAAAAAUUAGAUCAAGGUGCAGCUAAUAAAUAAGUUGGAAUGGGUUACAAUAGGAUUUAUUUAAACGGAAUAGGUUAGGAAUAGUUAAUUUAUGAAGGUGGAUUUGCUUGUAAUAUAAGUUUAGUAAGCUUAUAAGAUAUUAGCUCUAAAUUAUGUACACAUCGCC
rnacentral:rRNA from 1 species